AAAAAAGGUAAGCUACUAAGAGCAAAUGGUGGAUGCCUUGGCUAGUAUAGGCGAUGAAAGACGUGCUAGGCUGCGAUAAGUCUCGGGGAGCCGUCAAGGGGCUUUGAUCCGGGAAUUUCUGAAUGGGGCAACCCAGUAUAUAGUGAUAUAUACUACCGCAAUGCGGAGCGAACGUUGGGAAUUGAAACAUCUUAGUACCAACAGGAAAAGAAAUCAAACGAGAUUACGCUAGUAGCGGCGAGCGAAAGCGUAAGAGGGCAAACCACUAGCUUGCUAGUGGGGUUGUAGGACUGCAAUAUAGACUUAAACAAUCUAAUAGAAUAAGCUGGAAAGCUUAAGCAUAGAGGGUGAUACUCCCGUAUAUGAAAGUGCGUUUAUACUUAGCAGUAUCCUGAGUAGGGCGGGACACGUGUAAUCCUGUCUGAAGCUGGGUAGACCACUAUCCAACCCUAAAUACUACUACUAGACCGAUAGUGCACAAGUACCGUGAGGGAAAGGUGAAAAGAACUGAGGUGAUCAGAGUGAAAUAGAACCUGAAACCAUUUGCUUACAAUCAUUCAGAGCCCUAUGAUUUAUCAGGGUGAUGGACUGCCUUUUGCAUAAUGAGCCUGCGAGUUGUGGUGUCUGGCAAGGUUAAGGAAACCCGGAGCCGUAGCGAAAGCGAGUCUUAAUAGGGCGCAAAGUCAGAUGCUGCAGACCCGAAACGAUGUGAUCUAUCCAUGAGCAGGUUGAAACCGGUGUAAGAGCCGGUGGAGGACCGAACAGACGGCCGUUGAAAAGGCUCCUGAUGACUUGUGGAUAGGGGUGAAAGGCCAAUCAAACAUCGUGAUAGCUGGUUCUCUCCGAAAUAUAUUUAGGUAUAGCGUUGUGUAGUAACUUUGUGAGGUAGAGCACUGAAUGGGCUAGGGCAUACACCAAUGUACCAAACCCUAUCAAACUCCGAAUGCGCAAAGUGUAAUCACAGCAGUCAGGCGGCGAGUGAUAAAAUCCGUCGUCAAGAGGGGAACAACCCAGACUAACAGCUAAGGUCCCUAAAUCUCAUUUAAGUGGAAAACGAUGUGAAGUUACUUUAACAACCAGGAGGUUGGCUUAGAAGCAGCCAUCCUUUAAAGAAAGCGUAAUAGCUCACUGGUCUAGUGAUUUCGCGCGGAAAAUAUAACGGGGCUAAAAUGAGUACCGAAGCUUUAGA
rnacentral:rRNA from 1 species